rnacentral:tRNA from 2 species
GCAGUCCUGGCCGAGUGGUUGACUAGAAAUCCAUUGGGGUCUCCCCGCACAGGUUCGAAUCCUGUCGACUGCG